rnacentral:lncRNA from 1 species
UCAGACAGAUGCGACGAGCCCGUCGACACAAACACAUGCUGCCCAUGGUGAUCGCCAGCUCCGAAGGUUGGAGCCAAAAGUCGAUGCCAUGUACGAUAACUUUGGAGCGUUUGCUAUGGGCCUCACGAGGGCUUUGGCCGAGGCUUUUGCACAGCAAGGAACGAUGUUAGAGUGGCCUCAAUUCAGGACAACAGUGCCAUAUCCACCACCACAUUCACUGGGACAUUGAAUACUUUAAGUUUGGGGGUAUUGGGGUAAUAGCAUAGUUGCAUGUAGUAUUUGCAUGUUUAGUUUAUUUGUUUAUGUGUUAGAAUUU